CACUACGUGGUCCCAGAUGCAAAAGGGAAACAGACUCUGAUAGCAAAAGAGCAUGAGUAAUAGCUACUAGAGUAGUAUAAGUAGUGGCAGAUUUCACUAAAGAAGGCAUGGAUGAACUUGCUUUUCUUUUAGUUGCUUAGAAUAGAUCUGGAACCUCCCUUUUCUUCCUUUUUCCUUUGUUUUGCUUCUUGUUAUUCCCAGAAGAAGAGGAACAGGUCCCUCUUGUGACCUGCAACAAGUUCAUCUUUAAUACAAAGUUCCUCUUGUUACACAUGCUCAUAAAACACGCAAAAUAUGUUUCGGAAAAAAAACAUUAAGCCAAUUUGGUGAUGCAUGAGAACCAUCUUUAGCCUAUCUAAAUGUUUGAUGUAAUUUAAGGAUGGUACUGUUCAACAUCAGAGUUUCUUAAAGCUAGGAACACAUGAAAACUAAUUAGUCCUUUAAUUACUAGUGUGUCGAGGAUUAGCAAAAGUAGCAAUUCCUAGAAAUGGUUUCUUGCCUAUUUUGAUGGUUGUUGCAUUCUUCUGAGAUCGAAGUAAGAGUAAAAUAGAUUCAUUCAGUAAUUUUCACAACAAUCAACAUUUGACCUCUUGUGCCUAUAAAUUAAAAAAAGAGAAGCUGAAAGCCACUUGAGUAAAAAGCGUGCAGAAAAAUAACGAUUGGGUCAAUUGUGUUCCAAUCACAAGCUUUUUUUAUGCACUUAGUACCUAAGUUAAUCCAACUUGAAGAAUCUUAGUAGCUUAGUUGGUUCGUUACCUAAGCUUUCACCUUAUUGAUGGAGUCUGAUUCCUCACGUUGUAAUCCACUCCCCGAUUUCCCCGUCCACUACCCCCCAAAUGAAGUUGAUCAGACUUAAAGGAUAACUAUCUCAAAUGAACAAUUAAACCAGUCAGUACCUAAUUAAUUGAACCUAUUGACUCAUAUUACUUCAGUCUGCACAAUUUAAAGCUACAAAAAGUAGUUGGCUUAUGUAACUGUAAAUCCAAAUCUAAGUUGGGCUAUCCAGAGUUAUAACUAGGUUAAUACAUGCAUAUAAUCCAGAUCAUAUAUCUGUAAGGAGAAAUAAACUGUUCAGACCAUAAGAACACGUAUCGCUUUCCUUGGUAGCAUUGGCCCUCCAAAAUCCCAAAAACAUCAAGUGGUUCAAGACUGCACAGUAUAAGCUACUUCAUGUCGAUUCUACUUGAGUUUCACCAUCUGCAAAAGCAAGCAUCCUGUUUAACAACACCGCUAGAUUUGCCAGCAUAUCAGCUUCCGUGUUGAGUUCCUGACAUGUUAAAUAAGUAACACCUCAGAAAUGAAUGUAACAUAUACAGAAAGGUAACUUGAAAAGAAUUGGGUAAGGUGAAUAUGUAAACAACACCGUAGACUCUCAUAUUGAGCAAUGCAAAAAGAAAAAGUCAAAUGACAUGCUUGGGAAGCAUGCACUCGCAUCCAGAAACAGAUCGAUAGAAGAAUCAUUUUCAGAUGGUGCAACACCAAGAAUAUUGCAUAAAUUGAACCCAACCUCCGAGUACCCACUGCUUGUCCAUCUUUUGUUUCAGGAGUUCUUUUCAACAGAUUAUACCACUCAUUUAUGCAGAGACAUCAUACAGCAUAUAUUCCCGAGUACUUAGCACAUUAUAUUUUCACUAAACAAACUCUUUUCAAGCAAGAAGAUCAUAAUUAUGAAAAUGUUGCAAGAGUUGUCCAUACUCUUUCUACAUGGAUGAUAUGGAAAGACAUAAACUGAUCUUUAGGCUCUUCGACAGUCUUGGACAAUUCCACCAUGUUUUGGUUUGUAGUUUUUCCAGAUUCCCUGAAUCUGUUCCAUGAAAAAAAUAGAAAAUAAAGUAAUGAGUGACUGUAGACCAACAAGUAGAUUGUAGAUCUAGUAAAUAAAUAAACAGUAAUGUAAAAUAAACUUAAGUUGGUAAAUAAAUACAACCCAAAUUAAUAUGUCCACUCUCAGGCGCUUCACUAAGACAGAUUCUAUUUCAUAUUUUAUCCAUCUAGAUCUUCAAUCUUCUACCCUCAUAUCACCAUGCCAUCACCCUCCUGACUUAGCCACUCUUCUAAAUUCUUUUCCAGAGAUUUUUCAUCACCCGUCCUCUUUACCACCUCAACGACCACAAGAUCAUCGCAUUCCCCUCUUGCCAGGAGCUAAUCCUGUAAAUGUCCGGCCAUAUCGUUACCCCCACUUCCAAAAAGCUGAAAUUGAAAAGCUUGUUUCUGAGAUGCUCAAGUCGGGAGUUAUUCGUCCCAGCUCGAGUCCAUAUUCUUCACCAGUGUUGUUAGUGCGUAAGAAGGAUGGUACUUGGCGCUUUUGUGUGGAUUACAGGGCUCUUAAUGCUAUCACUGUUAAGGAUAGAUUUCCAAUCCCAACCGUCGAUGAGCUUUUUGAUGAAUUGCACAAUGCUUGUGUAUUCUCUAAGUUGGACUUAUUAGCCGGAUACCAUCAAAUUCGCCUCCAUCCCCCAGAUAUCAAAAAGACCGCAUUUCGAACUCAUGAAGGCCAUUAUGAAUUUACUGUGAUGCCAUUUGGUCUUUCGAAUGCUCCAUCUACUUUUCAAUCAACCAUGAAUUCCAUUUUUAAGCCAUUUCUACGCCAAUUUGUCCUUGUUUUCUUCGAUGACAUCCUAGUUUAUAGCACGUCUUGGCAGGAUCACUUACAACACCUUAGAUCAGUCUUUGAUCUUCUCCGACAAAAUUCUUUGGUGGUGAAGCAAUCAAAAUGCCAAUUUGGGCAGUCUUCCAUUUCUUACUUGGGUCAUAUUCUCUCUGAAAAAGGCUUACAAGUUGACCCUGAGAAGAUUACUGCUAUCGUUUCUUGGCCUUUGCCUUCAUCUGUAAAGGAUGUCCGUGCCUUUUUGGGUUUAACGGGGUACUAUCGUCGUUUUGUCAAAGGAUAUGCCCAGUUAGCUUCACCCCUCACUGAUCUUCUGAAAAAGGACUCAUUUGUAUGGUCCGAUAAGGCUUCUGUUGCUUUUGCCAAAUUGAAAGAGGCUCUUGGCUCCGUCCCUGUUUUAUUCUUGCCUGAUUUUUCCAAGGAUUUUGUGGUAGAAACAGAUGCAUCAGGUACUGGCAUUGGUGCGGUUCUUUGCCAAGACAGUCACCCAAUCGCAUUCUUCAGCCAAAAAUUAUCUUCAAGGAUGCAAGCUGCUUCUACUUACAAUCGUGAAAUGUUUGCCAUCACGCAGGCUGUUCAAAAGUGGCGCCAAUACUUAUUGGGCCGUCGUUUUACCAUUUUAACUGAUCAGCAACCUUUGAAAGCCCUUACAAGUCAGGUUAUCCAGACCCCUGAACAACAACGUUGGCUUAGCAAGUUAAUUGGGUAUGAUUUUGAGAUACGCUUUCGCCCAGGCAAAUUAAAUUCUGCUGCCGAUGCUUUAUCUCGCGUUCCUGCUUGUUUUGCGUUAUCUUUGGCCAUCACUGAAAUAGCUUUGGUUGACAAGCUUAAGGCGUUGAACAAAUCCAAUGAGGAAUUAUUAGCUCUCCAACAGAAAUUGUUGAAUACUCCAGAUUUUAUGUCCUCAUUCUCCUUUCAGGAAGGUCUCCUGUUAUUCAAGAAUCGCCUGGUUAUUCCCAAGGAUGCAUCUUUGCGUCUAAUGCUAUUGGAAGAAUUUCAUGCUUCCAAAAUUGGAGGUCAUGCAGGCGUCGCUCGCACAUUUCACCGACUGUCUUCAAAUUUUUAUUGGGUUGGCAUGCGAUCUGAUGUCAAGAAGUUCUUCUCUGAAUGUCAAAUUUGUCAGCAGAUGAAAGAUUCACAACUGAAACCUGCAGGAUUACUGUCUCCCUUGCCGAUUCCUUCUGAGAUUUUUGCUGAAAUUUCCAUGGACUUUAUUACAGGCCUUCCAUCAUCUCAGGGGCGCACUGUGAUCUUGGUGAUUGUAGAUAGAUUGUCGAAGUAUGGACAUUUUAUUGCUCUAUCUGCAAAUUUUACCAGUCAAAAAGUAGCAGAAGUCUUUGUCCAAGAAUUUGUCCGGUUACAUGGUUUUCCUACCAAAAUCGUAUCUAACCGCGAUCCCAUUUUCAUCUCUGAAUUUUGGACGGAAAUUAACAAACUCCAGGGAACUCAUUUGGCCAAGAGUUCUGCUUAUCAUCCACAAACGGAUGGCCAAACAGAGUCACUGAACAAAUGCCUUGAAAUGUAUCUCCGUUGUUUUGCUACAGAUACUCCUUCUACAUGGGUCCCUCUUCUUCCCUGGGCAGAAUUUUGGUACAAUACUUCAUACCAACACAGCUCCAAGAUGACUCCUUUUGAGGCAGUCUAUGGCCGGCCUCCUCCUAUUGUCUCUCGUUUUGUGUUAGACAGCACUUCCAAUCCUACAGUUUCGGGUUCUUUGCGACAACGCGAUGAAACAUUGGCUGUGUUGAAGUCUAAUUUACUGCAGGCUCAAGAUAGGAUGAAGUUUCAAGCUGACAAAGGUCGUAGGGAGGUGAUCUUUGAUAUUGGUGAUUGGGUGUAUGUCCGUCUUCGACCAUAUAGACAACUUUCAGUUCGUCUGCAAUGCCAUUCCAAAUUGAGCAGGCGUUUCUUUGGACCCUUUCAGAUCAUUCAACGCAUUGGUGAUGUGGCUUAUAAACUCGAUCUGCCACCUUCUUCUCGAAUCCAUCCUGUGUUCCAUGUUUCAGUGUUACGUAAGUGUAUCGGCAAACCAACUAAUCAGAUUACACCUAUUGAAUUGUUGGACCAAACUCCCUCUGUCACACUUACACCUGAAGCUGUUUUAAAGACGAGAGAUGUUACCAAAGGGGCACAUAAGGUGCCUCAAUGCCUUGUCAAAUGGGUAGGUUUGCCUAUUGAAGAUGCAACUUGGGAGGACUCAUAUACCCUCUUGCAGCAGUUUCCUCACUUGAACCUUGAGGACAAGGUUCUUCUCCAUGAGGGCGGCAAUGUAAUGACUCCGCAGGACAAGUUGGACAACAACAGGCGUAGUACCAGGUACAAACGAGUGCCACAAUACCUGGACCACUACGUGGUCCCAGAUGCAAAAGGGAAACAGACUCUGAUAGCAAAAGAGCAUGAGUAAUAGCUACUAGAGUAGUAUAAGUAGUGGCAGAUUUCACUAAAGAAGGCAUGGAUGAACUUGCUUUUCUUUUAGUUGCUUAGAAUAGAUCUAGAACCUCCCUUUUCUUCCUUUUUCCUUUGUUUUGCUUCUUGUUAUUCCCAGAAGAAGAGGAACAGGUCCCUCUUGUGACCUGCAACAAGUUCAUCUUUAAUACAAAGUUCCUCUUCUUAC
rnacentral:lncRNA from 1 species